CCCUAUAACUUCCCACCUCCUAAAAAGGCCUAUAAAUUCUGCUCCAAAUACACCCCCACUCCACAUAUCAAUAAAAUCUCAAGAGAGAGAAAAUAGAGACAGUAGUGAAGAGAGAGAGAGAGAGAGAGAGGGAGAGAUGGAGACAUUUCCGAUUAUUAACAUGGAGAAGCUUAAUGGUGAAGAGAGGGCUGCAACAAUGGAGAUGAUAAAAGAUGCUUGUGAGAACUGGGGCUUUUUUGAGGUAAAUAUCUCUAUAUAUAUGAAUAUACAUGGUCUGCAAAAUUUAUGUUUUAGCAUAAGCUUUUAAUGAUUAUAUAUAUAUAUAUAUAUAUAUAUAUAUAUAUAUAUAUAUAUAUCUACUGAGUUACUUUUGUUAAUUUUUGUAUGUUGUAAAAAAUAAUUUAAAAAAAAGUUGGUGAACCAUGGGAUAUCUAUUGAGCUUAUGGACACUGUUGAGAGGCUGACAAAAGAGCACUACAACAAGUGUAUGGAACAGAGGUUCAAGGAAAUGGUG
rnacentral:lncRNA from 1 species